rnacentral:rRNA from 1 species
AGUGUUUGAUCAUGGCUCAGGAUGAACGCUAGCUACAGGCUUAACACAUGCAAGUCGAGGGGCAGCAUGAACUUAGCUUGCUAAGUUUGAUGGCGACCGGCGCACGGGUGAGUAACGCGUAUCCAACCUGCCGCAAAGUAGGGCACAGCCUUGCGAAAGUAAGAUUAAUGCCCUAUGUGCUGUGAUGAUGACAUCAGAAUUGCAGUAAAGGUUCACCGCUUUGCGAUGGGGAUGCGUCUGAUUAGGUUGUUGGCGGGGUAACGGCCCACCAAGCCCGCGAUCAGUAGGGGUUCUGAGAGGAAGGUCCCCCACAUUGGAACUGAGACACGGUCCAAACUCC